AACGAACGCUGGCGGCAGGCCUAACACAUGCAAGUCGAGCGCACCUUCGGGUGAGCGGCGGACGGGUUAGUAACGCGUGGGAAUAUGCCCAAAGGUACGGAAUAGCCUCUGGAAACGGAGAGUAAUACCGUAUGUGCCCUUCGGGGGAAAGAUUUAUCGCCUUUGGAUUAGCCCGCGUAAGAUUAGAUAGUUGGUGGGGUAAUGGCCUACCAAGUCUACGAUCUUUAGCUGGUUUGAGAGGAUGAUCAGCAACACUGGGACUGAGACACGGCCCAG
rnacentral:rRNA from 1 species